GAUGAACGCUGGCGGCGUGCCUAAUACAUGCAAGUCGAGCGAACAGACGAGGAGCUUGCUCCUCUGAUGUUAGCGGCGGACGGGUGAGUAACACGUGGAUAACCUACCUAUAAGACUGGGAUAACUUCGGGAAACCGGAGCUAAUACCGGAUAACAUGUUGAACCGCAUGGUUCAACAGUGAAAGACGGUCUUGCUGUCACUUAUAGAUGGAUCCGCGCCGCAUUAGCUAGUUGGUAAGGUAACGGCUUACCAAGGCAACGAUGCGUAGCCGACCUGAGAGGGUGAUCGGCCACACUGGAACUGAGACACGGUCCAGACUCCUACGGGAGGCAGCAGUAGGGAAUCUUCCGCAAUGGGCGAAAGCCUGACGGAGCAACGCCGCGUGAGUGAAGAAGGUCUUCGGAUCGUAAAACUCUGUUAUUAGUGAAGAACAAAUGUGUAAGUAACUAUGCACGUCUUGACGGUACCUAAUCAGAAAGCCACGGCUAACUACGUG
rnacentral:rRNA from 1 species